rnacentral:rRNA from 1 species
GAGGAGCCUGUCCUAUAAUCGACACCCCACGCUACACCUUACCCCCCCUUGCCCCCAAUCUAUAUACCGCCGUCGCCAGCCCACAAUGUGAAUGCACCACCGUGAGCGAAACCAUCAACCAUUAAAACGACAGGUCAAGGUGUAGUUAACGGGGGGGGAAGUGAUGGGCUACAUUUUCUCUACUAGAAAAUACCGACCGCACCGUGAAACCUCUGCCCACAGGCGGAUUUAGAAGUAAGUUUUGGCAAGAUAUGCCAACCUGAAAAAGCCCUGGGACGC